rnacentral:rRNA from 1 species
AACGAACGCUGGCGGCGUGCCUAACACAUGCAAGUCGAACGGGGUGAGGGAGCUUGCUUCUUCAUCUAGUGGCGCACGGGUGAGUAACGCGUGGAUAAUCUGCCUGAUGCACUGGGAUAACAUCUCGAAAGGGGUGCUAAUACCGGAUAAGACCACGGGGUCUUUGGACCUUGCGGGAAAAGGAGGGGACCUUCGGGCCUUCCGACAUCAGAUGAGUCCGCGUCCCAUUCGCUAGUUGGUGGUGUAAUGGACCACCAAGGCGACGAUGGGUAGCUGGUCUGAGAGGAUGAUCAGCCACACUGGAACUGAGACACGGUCCAGACUCCUACGGGAGGCAGCAGUGGGGAAUUUUGCGCAAUGGGGGAAACCCUGACGCAGCAACGCCGCGUGAGUGAUGAAGGCUUUCGGGUCGUAAAGCUCUGUCAGAAGGGAAGAAAUGUGGGUGGCUAAUAUCCAUUCCACUUGACGGUACCUUCAAAGGAAGCACCGGCUAACUCCGUGCCAGCAGCCGCGGUAAAAC